rnacentral:rRNA from 1 species
UUCUGCCUAUGGGAGGCAGCAGUAGGGAAUCUUCCACAAUGGACGAAAGUCUGAUGGAGCAACGCCGCGUGAGCGAAGAAGGGUUUCGGCUCGUAAAGCUCUGUUGGUAGUGAAGAAAGAGAGAGGUAGUAACUGGCCUUUAUUUGACGGUAAUUACUUAGAAAGUCACGGCUAACUACGUGCCAGCAGCCGCGGUAAUACGUAGGUGGCAAGCGUUGUCCGGAUUUAUUGGGCGUAAA